GAGAUUCUGAAUCUCAAAACCAAUGAAAGUUUCAAAAGUUGAAAAAUUGACUUUCAUCCUUGAAUCCAGUGUACAAGUAAGCUGGUAACUCUCAGACCAAGAUUCAGCACCCCUGAGACUUGAGAAACCGUGAGUCCACUAAGGAGACACAGUCUAGAGGAUGGAUGGAAGGUCUCAUACACAGAUCAAGUCCACAGUUGAGAUUGUUAUUUGCCUCUUCUCUUCUGCCUGGGCACUGCCAAAGAAAAAAGGAGAUUGUAGCAAUUCACUGGACCCAGAACCUAGUUGAGGGAGCAUUGUGACAUGCCACUGGGCUCAGCACCCAGGUGAUGUUCCUCUCCUGCCUGGUCCCUUCCAUCAGGGAAUAUUGUACAAAUCUCUGGCCAAGCACCCAGUUGAUGUGACUCUCCUGCUCACUACCUACUCACAGGUUACAUGUCCCAUGUCGCAGAAAAUGUUGUAAUGUAUUGCUGGACCCAGUCACCAGAUGAUGUGUCUCUCCUGCCAAGGCUGUGCCCACAGAGAGCAUUUUGACAUAUCACUGGGCUCAGCACCCAGGUGAAAUGACUCUGCUGCCUGUACUCUGCUUUAAGAGGGGAUUGUAAUAUAUCUGUGGCUGAGCACCUAGGUGAGAUGACUUCUGCGUGGUUUCUGACCUCAGGAAAGAUUGUGACAUAUCUUUGCCGAAAACCUACAUGAUGUGAAUCUGCUGCUCACUUCCUACCGACAGGAGGGAUUGAGACAAUUCUGGAAGCCCAGCACCUAGGUGAUGUGACUUUCAUCUUUUGUUUGGACCGUGUGCACAAAAGGAAGAGUGGCUUAUCACUGGACCUCACACACAGGAGGUAUUGUGACAUAUUCCUGGAGCAAGUACCCAGGUAAUGUAACUCUUUUCUACUGCUUGGACUCUACCCAAGGAGAGAUUCUAAUGUAUCACUGGACCCAGCACCUAGGUUACGUGACUUUCCUCUUGUGUCUGAGUCUUGCAUAAAUUGUGUAUUGUGACAAAUCUCUGGGUCUAAAACCUAGGUGAUGAGACUCUUAUGCAUGAGCCCUGCUUACAGGGAUAUUAUGACAUAUCUUUUUUUUUUAAUCACCUAUGUGAUGUGCCUUUGUUUGUGUGUGUGUGUGUGUGUGCGUCCUGGCCCUGCCAAAAGUGGGGAUUGUAACAUAUCAUUAAACUUAGUACCAAGGUGUUAUGACUCACCUUGUUUGCCUGGGCCCUGCAUAUAUUUGGUAAUGUGACGUAUGGCUGAGACAAACACCUAGGGCAUGAGAGCCUUGUGCCUGGGUCCUGCCCACAAGGAGCCUUUUGGCUUAUCUCUGCAUCCAUGAACUAGGAGAUGUGACUCUUCUUUUCUGUCUGGGUUCUGCAAAAACAAGUGAUUGUGACAUAUCAUCAAACCCAGCAACUAGACGAUGUGAUUUUUCUUCCCUGCUUGAGCCCUGGAUAUGCUGUGCAUUGUGAUAUAUGGCUGGGUCCAACAUCAAGGAGAGAUUGUGACAUAUCUCUGGAACCAGAACCUUGGUGAUGUGACUCUUCUCUCCUGCUGAAGCCAUGCCCACACAAGGGAAAGUGACUUAUCACUGGGCCCAGCACACAGCGCUAUUCACAGGGAAAAUAGUGACACAUCUGUGGGGUUCUCACCGAAAUGAUGUGACUCUCUUGCCUGGGCUCACCUCUCAAGGGAAUUUUGACAUAUUACUGGACCAAGCACCUAGGCCCUGCAUUUAUUGUGUAUUGUGACAUAUGGCUUGGUCCAACACCUAGGUGGUGUGACUCUCUACUUCUUCCUGUGCCAUGCCAAAGAAGAGGAUUGUGACAUAUCACUGGAUCCAGCACCUAGGAUGCAUAUGCCAGAUUUCCAGGCCCAUCACCUAGAUGAUGAGACUCUCCUCUUCUUUCUGGGACCAAUACACAGUGGGAAUUGUGAUGCAUCGUUUAGCUCAGCAGCUACAUGAUGUGACCCUCUUCUCAUGAGAUUCCUGCCCACUUGGGUAAUUGCAACAUAUAAUGUAGCCGAGUUUCUAGGAUACCUGACUCUUCUCUUAUUCCUGAGACUUACACAGAAUCGGCAACAUCUCUGAUCUUCUCACCUAGGAGACAUGACCCAAAAAGGGAUUAUGACAUAUCUCUGAGCCCAACACCCAAAUGUUGUGACUCUCCUGCCUGGGCUGUGCCUAGAGAAAAUAUAAUAUGUCACUGGGCCCUGCAUGCAAGUGAUCUGAUUCUCCAGCCUGGGCCUUGCCCACAGGGGAGAUUGAGACAUAUUCCAGGUGGAUGGUGACUCUAAGACCAGGAUUCAACACAACUAGAAGGCUUUGACUCUAAUACGAGUCACAGAAGGCUCUGCGACUCUUCUAUUUUCUCUAGGUUAUGCAAAUGGAGGUGGAUUGUGACAUAUCAUAGGGCCAACACAACACACAGUCUACAGGUGGAAUUGGGACUCUCAUGCAUGGAUCCAGUUCAUCAUUGAUACUGUGACUCAGGUGGGAUUUUGACAUAUAACUGCACCCAGCACACAGGUGAGAUUGUGACUCUUGUAUGCUCAUCCUGCCAAAAGUUGAGUGUCACCCUCACACAUGGACAGAGACUUCUGUGGUCCAUUACAUUGAUGACAUUAUGCUGAUUGAAUCCAGUAAGCAAGAAAUAGCAAACACACCAGACUUAUUCAUGAGACGUUUGCAUGCCAGAGGAUGGAAAAUAAGUCUGACUAAAAUUUAGAGACCUUCUAGCUCAGUAAAACUUCCAGGGGUCCAGUGGUCCAAGGCCUGUCAAGAUAGUCCUUCUAAGGUAAAAGGUAAGUUGCUGCAUUUGGCCCAUCCUACAACCAAGAAAGAGGCACAAUGUCUAGUGGGCCUAUUUGGGUUUUGGAGGCAACCUAUUCCUCAUUUGGGUGUGUUACUCUGGCCCAUUUAUUGAGUGACCCAAAAAGCUGCCAGUUCUGAGUGUGGUCCAGAAAAGGAGAAGGCUCUGCAACAGGUCCAGGCUGCUGUGCAAGCUGCUCUGCCACUUGGGCCAUAUUACCCAGGAGAUCCAAUGGAUCUUGAGUUGUCAGUGUAAAAUAAGGAUGCUAUUUGUAGCCUUUGGCAGGCCCCCUUAGGUGAAUCACAGCAGAGGCCUCUAGAAUUUUGUUCUUUC
rnacentral:lncRNA from 1 species